rnacentral:rRNA from 1 species
AGGAGGCAGCAGUGGGGAAUAUUGGUCAAUGGGCGAGAGCCUGAACCAGCCAAGUCGCGUGAAGGAAGAAGGAUCUAUGGUUCGUAAACUUCUUUUUUAGGGGAAUAAAGUGCGGUACGUGUACCGUUUUGUAUGUACCCUACGAAUAAGGAUCGGCUAACUCCGUGCCAGCAGCCGCGGUAAUACGGAGGAUCCGAGCGUUAUCCGGAUUUAUUGGGUUUAAAGGGUGCGUAGGCGGAAGAAUAAGUCAGUGGUGAAAGUUUGCAGCUCAACUGUAAAAUUGCCGUUGAAACUGUUUUUCUUGAGUGUAAAUGAGGUAGGCGGAAUGUGUUGUGUAGCGGUGAAAUGCUUAGAUAUGACACAGAACACCGAUUGCGAAGGCAGCUUACUAAGAUACAACUGACGCUGAGGCACGAAAGCGUGGGGAUCGAACAGGAUUAGAUACCCGCGUAGUCCG